rnacentral:rRNA from 1 species
AGAGUUUGAUCCUGGCUCAGGACGAACGCUGGCGGCGUGCCUAAUACAUGCAAGUCGAGCGAAUCGAUGGGAGCUUGCUCCCUGAGAUUAGCGGCGGACGGGUGAGUAACACGUGGGCAACCUGCCUAUAAGACUGGGAUAACUUCGGGAAACCGGAGCUAAUACCGGAUACGUUCUUUUCUCGCAUGAGAGAAGAUGGAAAGACGGUUUACGCUGUCACUUAUAGAUGGGCCCGCGGCGCAUUAGCUAGUUGGUGAGGUAAUGGCUCACCAAGGCGACGAUGCGUAGCCGACCUGAGAGGGUGAUCGGCCACACUGGGACUGAGACACGGCCCAGACUCCUACGGGAGGCAGCAGUAGGGAAUCUUCCGCAAUGGACGAAAGUCUGACGGAGCAACGCCGCGUGAACGAAGAAGGCCUUCGGGUCGUAAAGUUCUGUUGUUAGGGAAGAACAAGUACCAGAGUAACUGCUGGUACCUUGACGGUACCUAACCAGAAAGCCACGGCUAACUACGUGCCAGCAGCCGCGGUAAUACGUAGGUGGCAAGCGUUGUCCGGAAUUAUUGGGCGUAAAGCGCGCGCAGGUGGUUCCUUAAGUCUGAUGUGAAAGCCACGCUCACCUGAGGUGGAGGGUCAUUGGAAACU